CCUUCCCUCUCUCUCUCCCUCCCUCCUUCCCUCCUCUCUUUGAGCUAGUAUGUGUCUAGUAAUACCAUAGGCCUGACUCCAGAUGUUCUUUCUUUCUUGCCAUGGUGGUUCCUGACCCCGGACGCCAGCCCUUAUUCCCAGUUCCACAUCUGCCCUCAGUGGACUCAGUGAUGUAUGGGAUACAGUUCACCCAUGAGGAUUUGAUUACAGUUCACACCAUCCAUCCUACUUCAGACCCAUUCAGGUAAUCCCUACCUUCCUAAUGUUCACAUCUGAGUCUCAAAUUCUGACUCAUUUCAUUUGAUGGUUUACCAUCUGAGAACACUCUAGACCCUCAUGAGAAGAGCUCAGACUGUGUUUGCGGCAGUUUGCAACCCCUGAAUGUGGUGCCUUGGCAAGCACUGAGUGCUACAGGCUAGAGUCUAAAGCUUUGCUUUCAGGGUGGUACAUACAUGGAAGAUACCACAGUUAAGUUCCCCCUGUUGCCCAGAAUUUUCUGGGUAAGCAAAGUAACCAAUCUUAGAACAUUCAACAACUUUAAAAUAGCUUUAGUUGUUCUUGGAAUUGCAUCACCGCCAUUAUCACCACCACUACCGAUGGUGCCACCAUCAUCACCAACACCAUGAUCACUACCACCAUCACAACCUCUGUUGCUACCAUUCCCACCAUACCAUUGCUACCACCACAAUCACCACCGCUACCCCCAACAUCAUCACAAUCAUCACAGCCAUCGCCACUACUAUCAUCACUAUCAUCACAACCAUUCCAUCAUCACUAAUAUUGUCCCCAUCACUACAGCCAUCAUCAGUAUCAUCUUAAGUAUCACCACCUACCAUGAUGACCACCUCCAAUAACACCACUGUUACCACUAACACUACCAUCAAAACCAUCAUUACUAUUACCACCAUCACCAUUACCAGCAACAAUAACAUCACCACCACCACUACAACCAUCCUGACUAUCACUACUAUCAACAAUGCCAUCAACUCCAAUAACACCGUCACUACCAUUAUUAACACAACCACCACUACCACCAUGACUACCACUAUCAACAACAGUGCUUUGACAGUAUAACUAUCACGAUCAUCAUCACUACCAUAAUCACUACCACUACCUCCACCACCACCACCACCACCAUCACCACCAACAUAACAACAAUACUAUACCAACACCACCAUCACCACCACUGCCAUCAUGGCUACUGCCAAUGUCAGUGAGACUUCUCCCUCAUCUUGCCCUGAGAUGUAUCACCCAUGUUCUGUCCUCUUACUUAGCCUUGACUUUGACACAUAUUCAGAGAUACCACAUUGGUCAUGCGUGACCUGUUUGGGUGUGCACCACUCCAAGCAGACCCUGCCAUCCCUGGCUGAGGUGCUUGAACUUGAUGACCUCUGACCUCUGCUGCCCAGGACAGAACUUGGUGUAAAACUUGAGCAUGGAGAUUGCUGGGGAAAGGUAAAGAUCAAUGAAGGCAAAACACACAGCCCAUCCUGAGUCCAGAGUAUGUGUCUGACUCUAGGUUCUGUAUCCCCCAAGCACAGAUGGUCCCUGCUUGCUGCUGGGGCCUGCCCUCCUCCUCCAGCUCCACUCUUCCUUUGCCUGUCCCUUUUUAGAAGAUGUGUAACCCUAAUCCUUGAAAUUGCCUGGCAUGAAUUUUAUUCCCUGCUUAAAUAAAUCUCACUCCCCCACGAAGUUUGGACAGGACGCAGGCAAUCAGACUAGGGCUUGGAACCGAAUGUUUUGCAAAAGACCUCUUUCAAAAUUUGAAACCCGGUGGUCACAAGCCAGAGCUGAGUCUGACUUGGGAGAAUGUAUGUUCUGUGACCCCCCUCCCAAAAGAAGAGAGGGAGUGAAGGCUAAAACAAGUCCUCCUGUCACUGAGCCCAUGGACGAUUUGCAAGACUGAAAACCCUGUGGUUUAGUUCUGUUUCUCUGAUGGAACUGGAGAGAGAUUGGUCCCCUCCCUAGCUCUUCUCUCAAGCUUUUGGCAAAAGCCUCAAUCCUCCCCUAGCCAGCAAGGGCCUAAAAAAAUCACAGAGAGUGCAUGGCAUGGAUUGGUGUAGAAUUCUGGCCCAGGCUAUAGGAGUGUAGGGGUAGGACCAGUGUGAACUGUGUCCCAAGGCCUCACUUUUCCAAAGGAGGGAAUGAUUAGGAGACCUGAUAUUUUCUUUCUUCGCCCAGGGAGGUACCCUUGUGUAUCCUUGGAGAAGUCCCAGAACUCAACUGUAAGAAACAAGUUGGUUUCUUUUCACUGUUGGUCAUGUGUAUCUCCUACUCCAUGCCAUGUGGGCAUGCUCUGCCUGGCAGACUGCUGGAAGCAGGCAGAAGCUCCCCCAGAUAGAGAGUGUGUUUUUCCAUCUCUUCAAAGUCUUCAUGGCCCACCUGUGUCUGCACCUCUAUAUCCAGAUGGAGUGAAACAUGCUGACCUCUUUGGCCCAGCUCUUUUGGCCUGCCUCUCAAGCUCCCGGGAGGACUCAGCAUUUUUCUUUGGCUUUUAUAAAGAGAGACAUUGCUUCCCUUCAUCAGAGAAUUGAGCUGACCAUGUGAUUGUCUAGCCCUGCCUCAGUUUUCCCAUGUGUAAUAGGGACACUAUGGUAACAUGAGUUCUCCAUCACUGUUUUAGCUUUUGAGGGAGCUAAGGUUUGUUUCACCUGACCUAGACUUAGGUGCAUACUUCCUUCUUCCCAUCCUCCCAGGUCCCCCUGCAUGCUUGCUCUUAAUUUCAGAUGCAGUUGAUGAUAUUUUAUUUCCCCUUAAACUCAUACGCUCUCUCACCAUCGUCUUUAGGACUGUGUAGAAGUUAUCCUUCCUGUUACCAGAGCCCGUUCUCAGCAUAGUUCCGGUAUCAGCAGUGGCCGGAGACUGUGGCUAGUUCUUCAGCCAGCUCUAGGGCUCCCUUGCAUCAGCUGUCCCUUCACCUCUGCUGCAUGGGGUAUUUUUGAGCUCCUGGCUUCAUUUAGUGAUGUACCUAACUAUGAUGGUCUCUGAGGAGCCCAAAACCACAGGUCAGAUCUCAGACAUCUUAAAAAAAAAAAAAACUGAACUAUUUUGUCUUUCUUAGAGAACUCUCUGCUAUUUCCUCACAGUCUAGGCCCUAUUCUUCUUUCAAAAACAAAGGCUUAGAUGAGCAGAGGGAACCCAGCUCUGUCUUCAUAUCUGGGGUGUGUCUCCUUUCUAGACAUUUUUGUGUCUACUCAGAGCCUUAUUCUCUAGCUUCCAUCCUAUUUGUAUUGUAACAUGUUCUAUGAUUUGCUCAUUGGAAUAACAGAGCUUAGGUAACUCCCAGUUUAGUGACCAUUCUGAAAGCCAUGCAGAGAAGCAUCUGGAAUGGUCCUUCCUGCCAGUACCCAACCCAAAUAGCAUUUUUCCAAAGACAUGGCUCACAUAGGUUACAGCCCAGCAGCAUGGUUCCCUUCUCUUUCUUUUGUGUAGAAUCAGAGCCAUCCCGUACCCUACUCUGGCUCUCUAAGCUCACCUCACCCCAAAGCUUGGUUAUUGGCACUCAUUAGCUCCAGUACGCUUCAUUCUGUGACUGUGGGGGCAGAUUCAGUGGGUACCCAACUGUCAUUAACCUUGGCCCAUUUUUCCCUAGCAAUGAGAGCCAUGGAGUUCAACUCUUGGGCCAAGAAUGAUGUGGCCAGAACUAUCACACUCCCAGGAUCCAAGCAAGCUGCUGGGCCCUAAAUUCUCAAAUAAUAAGAGCCUGUGAAAAGCACCCAUGGUGGUCACCAAGCGGAUGGGACAGUGACCACAUAGGAAGCAGUGGACUCUGCAGACAUAAGUCACGGUCCCCCGAAACAGAACCUUUAGAGGCUUGGUUGCCUGAUCCAGCUUCCUGUGAGGACAAAUGCCAAAGGAGCAGUACCAAUCUUGCUGGGAGGACCUCUCAACCAGUGUGGCGUUGUAAACUUGGGGAAGAUGAAGGCCACUGAGACAGUUCUACCCCAAAUCACACAGGUGGGUUGCAUUCACAUUGCAUCUAAUAGGUUAGACACAGCCAUCCCCACGCAUAUCUAGACUGCCUUGGAGGCAAUGUGAUGGGCUGUCAAUCAACCAACCCACAGCACAGGAUUGUCUAUUGUACAAAACACCCACUGUGACAGAUAGUGCCUAGACCCAAGCCUUUCAGCCUCCAGAUUAUCCUGAAAGGAUGCUCUGGAUACAGUCACUGACUUUGGGAAUGAAAGCUGGUUCUGAGAUCAGGAAGCUCCUUGAAGUCUCCCUAGAACUGGACAAAGCUGGGCCCCUGUUCUAACAGAAUGCAAGAGUGACCUUAUUUUGGCUGUAAGGAAAUGCUUGAUGUUAAACCAACUAGAGAGAUGCUUUGUCCUCAGUCUUGAUCUGGGGAGAGUUGAGUAAUGGCUGAGCACUGGGCGUGGCCCACUGACUGUGGUGUCCAGUGGACUCUCAGGAGGUACUGCUGGUGCUGAAGCUCAAUUCUGCUUCUGCAGGUGAUGUAGCUUUCAGUACAUGAGGAGAAAAUUUCCUUUGUGGUAUAUUUCUUGGGGCCAGAUAUUCUGGCAGCUCUUUGUCAGUAGCAAAUACCUGGUUACGAAGCUUCCUGGACCAGGCAGUAGUUGCCAGCCCUAGACCAGGGUGAAUAAGCUGAGGCAAGGGCUUUUCAUGUUCUGCAUGGUAUCUGGCACACACCCCAGGACCUUUUGUGUGAAGAACUUGCUGGAGGAGGUGCUGACUUUUAAGAAAGUCAGUGGUUCUCGUUUGUAGGGCUCCAUCUAGGGGGUAGGGCCUGACCCCUCCUGACUCAUUCUUCUGCUUUGCUCUGCAGAAGGUGACAGAGGCUCACUUCCAUCCCCCCCCACUCCAUAAUGUGUCUGUUUUCAGAUCUUACCCUCCCUGGAUACUGCCCAGACUCAGAGCCAGCGUCUACACAGCACCUGGGGCCUAGCUUACUUCAGACCACCCACUUGCCUCUUGGACCCAGAAUCUGAGGAUCAUUCUGGAACACCCUGAUGUACUACUUUUGUUUUUAGAUGAAAGCUGCAUUUCCCUGGUUAUCUCCUGAGGCCUGCACAAUUUCUGGGGCUCUGGUUCCCUUCUACAAACCCUUAAACCUGGAGAGAAAUGGAGUGCAAAUGGUCUGUGUUGGUGGGAUAUAUUCUCAGGCAAUUCUGCUAUCAAAUUUUAAAGGGUUUUUGGUUGCUCUCCAGGGGCCACUGAACCAGAUGCUUAAGGCAGACACUCCUACCAAGACACAUGACAUCUGGUGCUUUGCAUCCAUGAAGACUCGACAGUUCCAUUUUUGUUUGCCUUUGUUUGCUUUCUGACCAGUGCUAAUUGAUACUUGAAGGAGAGGUAGUCCGUGUUGUCUUCUCUUUAUUUAUGAUGAAACAUACACGGGAAACCUCUUUUUUAGUAUCAAAUCCCACCCUGGAGGUACUUCCUGUCCCUGAUGAAGCCUUCAGGGAAGGGACCUUGACUGCUGUACCCUGGACUGUGGGACAUGGGGGUAUGGCCUCAGGACUCGGCCUGGGAGGGGAAGUCAAGUUUGAAGAAAGGCCAGGGUCCCUGUGGUGGUGGGAGGCUGCCCCCUGUGGCUUUGGACUGUGUGAUGACUCUUGGUGUGUGGUGGCUUUUCAGAAGGUCCUCCUCAAAGUAGCUGUAGAACACUCCAGCAACGUGACUGAAGGGCCGAUAGUGCCCUCUGCUUUCAGGGUAGCUGUGAGGAUGGUAGACCGGUGACGUACACUUCAUUUAUGAUGUAGGUCACCUGUUUCACUAUCCGCCAGUACCCAGACCAUCUGGGAUGACGCCUUGGUGCACAUGGCAGCUGUAAAGAAGAUGUGGGUGGGGUUGAAUCCAGUGUGAAUCUAAAGUAUUUCAAGUGGGGUUACCUUUUAAGGGAAUUCUUGUUUUGCUUGUGUGUGUCCCUGUAAGUACGUGUUCACAUGGUGUGUGUGUGUGUGUGUGUAUGUAUGCAUGC